CCUACGGGAGGCAGCAGUGAGGAAUAUUGGUCAAUGGCCGGAAGGCUGAACCAGCCAUGCCGCGUGAAGGUCAGUGCCCUAUGGGCGUUAAACUUCUUUUGUGCGGGAGCAAUAAUGGUCACGUGUGGCCAGACGAGAGUACCGUACGAAUAAGCAUCGGCUAACUCCGUGCCAGCAGCCGCGGUAAUACGUAGGGGGCAAGCGUUAUCCGGAUUUACUGGGUGUAAAGGGAGCGUAGACGGUUAUGCAAGUCUGAAGUGAAAGCCCAAGGCUCAACCAUGGGACUGCUUUGGAAACUGUAAAAC
rnacentral:rRNA from 1 species